rnacentral:rRNA from 6 species
AUGCAUGUCUAAGUACAAGCCUCACUAAGGUGAAACCGCGAAUGGCUCAUUAAAUCACACCUAAUCUACUGGAUAGUUAACAGUUACUUGGAUAACUGCGGUAAUUCUGGAGCUAAUACAUGCACAAAGCCCCGAACUUACGUGAGGGGCGCUUUUAUUAGAUCAAAACCAAACGGCUUCGGCUGUUCUCUUGGUGACUCUGAAUAACUUUGGGCUGAUCGCAUAGCCUAGCGCUGGCGACAUAUCCUUCGAAGGUGUGCCCUAUCAACUGUCGACUGUGGCAUAGACGCCCACAGUGGUUUUGACGGGUAACGGGGAAUCAGGGUUCGAUUCCGGAGAGGGAGCCUUAGAAACGGCUACCACA